AGAGUUUGAUCCUGGCUCAGGAUGAACGCUAGCGGCAGGCCUAAUACAUGCAAGUCGAGCGGAGUCAGCAAUGGCUUAGCGGCGAACGGGUGCGUAACGCGUAUGUAACCUGCCCCAGGGAGGGGGACAACACUGGGAAACUGGUGCUAAUACCCCAUGAUGCAGCGGGCCCGCAUGGGCAUAGUUGUUAAAGGAGCAAUCCGCCUUGGGAGGGGCAUGCGUCCGAUUAGCUAGUUGGCGGGGUAACGGCCCACCAAGGCGACGAUCGGUAACUGGUCUUAGAGGAUGAUCAGUCACACUGGCACUGAGACACGGGCCAGACUCCUACGGGAGGCAGCAGUAGGGAAUAUUGGGCAAUGGGCGAAAGCCUGACCCAGCCAUGCCGCGUGCAGGAAGAAGGUCCAUCGGAUUGUAAACUGCUUUUAUCCGGGAAUAAGGUGUUUGUAACUCAAGCACUUGAAGGUACCGGGGGAAUAAGGACCGGCUAACUACGUGCCAGCAGCCGCGGUAAUACGUAGGGUCCAAGCGUUGUCCGGAUUUACUGGGUUUAAAGGGUGCGCAGGCGGGCUUGCAAGUCGAUGAUGAAAUGUCAGGGCUCAACCUUGGCGCUGUUGUCGAAACUGCAAGUCUUGAGCGUGGUUGAGGUAUCUGGAACGAGUGGUGUAGCGGUGAAAUGCGUAGAGAUCACUCAGAACACCAAUUGCGAAGGCAGGAUACUGGGCCAUAGCUGACGCUCAGGCACGAAAGCGUGGGGAUCAAACAGGAUUAGAUACCCUGGUAGUCCACGCCCUAAACUAUGAAUACUAAAUUUCGGGGCGUAAGUCUCGGAGUUUGAGCAAAAGCGUUAAGUAUUCCACCUGGGAAGUACGCUCGCAAGGGUGAAACUCAAAGGAAUUGACGGGGGCCCGCACAAGCGGUGGAGCAUGUGGUUUAAUUCGAUGGUACGCGAGGAACCUUACCUGGGCUAGAAUGCGCGUGACCGCCUCAGAGAUGAGGCUUCCCUUCGGGGCACAAAGCAAGGUGCUGCAUGGCUGUCGUCAGCUCGUGCCGUGAGGUGUUUGGUUAAGUCCAGCAACGAGCGCAACCCCUGUUGUUAGUUGCCAGCGCGUAAUGGCGGGAACUCUAACAAGACUGCUUUCGUAAGAAGUGAGGAAGGAGGGGACGACGUCAAGUCAUCAUGGCCCUUACGUCCAGGGCUACACACGUGCUACAAUGGCCAGUACAAAGGGAAGCAAUACCGCAAGGUCGAGCAAAUCUCAAAAAGCUGGUCUCAGUUCGGAUUGGAGUCUGCAACUCGACUCCAUGAAGUUGGAAUCGCUAGUAAUCGCGUAUCAGCAAUGACGCGGUGAAUACGUUCCCGGGCCUUGUACACACCGCCCGUCAAGCCAUGGAAGCUGGGAGCGCCUGAAGUCGGGGGAUUGAAUCCCUGCCUAGGGCGAUACUGGUAACUGGGGCUAAGUCGUAACAAGGUA
rnacentral:rRNA from 1 species